ACAGAUGGUGCUGUUAGAAGUAACAGGUAAAAGGGAAACAGGUGUAAAUCCUGUACGAACUCGUCACUGUAAUUAGGGAAUACAAAUCUUAUCACGAAUGCCUUGCAUUCGUGAGGACAUGCACAGCAAACACGAAGUGCUUUUAAAUCUGUAUAGCAUUCUAAGCCACUGACCAAAGCAUCUCCGCCAGAUGCGGAUGGUUGGGAAGGCAGAUUUGUAUAACGAUCUAUAAGUCAGGAAACCUGCCAUUUUGU
rnacentral:ncRNA from 1 species